UCAGUGUUAACCUAAUUUAAUCUAAAUAGAGUAUUUUUAACUAUAUGGAGUGUAAAUCGGCUCUGACAUCGGAGUUAAAAGUCAGAGUAAAAUGCUACAUUCACGCAGUGAAACUUUUGACUCUGCCAAGUGUUAAUAACGCGCCGCGGUAAAGAUUUUUGGCAACCGCGAAGAGGAGAAGGAGGAAGAAAGAAGACGAAGCAACAGUUUUCUGAAGUUCGUGAGGCGGCUAUUUCCAUUUUGGAUUCUGGACGGAGUUGUGCUACAGAAAAGGUAAGUAACUUUUAACAAUCUGGUGUUGGUAAUGUAUUUUGAUAUUAAUUGUGAUGAAGAACGAUAUUAUAGCUUCUGUUGCUGUCCAUUAAAUAUGGUCGCAACUAUUAUGCGGGAGUACUAGAGUAGCAAAUGGUUUUGGUACCAUGACUUAGUUUGUUAGUGGUGAAAAACCCCUCCAUGUCUCCUCAUUUUUGUUCCCGUUUUAUUCCAUUGUUCACAUUCAGGGUAGCGGGAGAAAGCCGAGGGAUAGCCCUAUGCUAGACAAGUUGUCCACCUCGAAAUAUUAGCUGUUUUUUUCCGAAGGCUUUCCAGCAGACCAUGCUACUGCGUGUUUUGUUUGAUGGGGAGCAGAAGUUUGUGAAACUUUCUGACCUAACAUUUUAUGCAUUCAUGAGAGAAGUGUGCCUGAAAUUUAACAUUCCAGAAGGCAGACAGCAAGAUCUGAAGGUGUAUGACCAGUCUGAUACAGAAGUUGAUGUAGAUGUUUUUGAAGAAAUAGUGAAUCAGUCUCAAAUUCAAGGUUAUAAAGGAAAGCCAUGGCCUGGUACCCACCACUGAGCUCUUGGAUUUAUUGCGGAAUGCAGAGUUGGCUGCUGAAGCUGAGAACGGUAUGUUGGUCUUCUAGGUAAUUGUGACAAAUUCAUAUGUUAGUGGGAUGAUAGUAACCUGAAGCUGUUGGUCUAUAGGUUGGGAUAGUGACAUGUCUGCUAUUUUGCAUGUGCUGCAUCUGCUACCACCAUCUGCACAAGGACGAAAGAGGCCGAGUAAGAUGUCUGCAUCUCAAGCAGUGGAUCACCUCAUCAGAUUUCUAAAGCUGCUUAACAGUUGCUUAAAGGUUGGAACCAGUGUGCAGCAGCAUCUUGACAAAAUCACACAUCGUACCCAGCCCUACCUCCUUGACCAGGAAUCCAUCCAAAGCAGUAUUCACGCAUUCUUCAUUGUGAUUGACAACUAUGCUAUUCCAUGUAAGGCAACAUGUUCAGUUGGAGCUCUUGAUGAGCUCUUUAAGACCCAUUAUGUGUUUGGUACGUCACACAGUGCUCCCUUGACCAACUUAUUGAUUUAUUUAUUUAUUUGAAAUGCCUGUCUUUUACCAGAUCAAGUCUGUGUUCAUAGUUAAAGACAAAUUGUUGCUGCUUACAUUGCCUUUAUGUACAGUAUCUUUUCAUGAACAUUUUCAUGUUUAUGAAGUUACUAAAAUGAUGCAAGGUUUUGUUGUGUUUGAUGUCAGCCAUCUAUGUUAUCCGAAGCCCUUUGACAUACAAAUGUCAUAUGAAGCAAAUGACACUGCUCUUUUUGUUUGUCCCGUAUUGCUAUCUUUGGUGAACAUUGUUUUGAAGAUGGUUAAACUGACACUGUUACAGUAAUUAUGUCACUGGAUGAUAAAUUUGAAUAAAUGUUGUCACUGUGAACUUAAAACUUUGUGAUUAUUGUGAUUGGUAGAUUUUAUAAAAGCCAU